CCAAUAGCGUAUAUUAAAGUUGUUGCAGUUAAAAAGCUCGUAGUUGAAUUUUGGGAUCAAUGGGUUGGUCAUGCCCUCGGUAUGUACUGAUUUCAUUGGUUCUCACCUUCUAAGGAACCAUGAUGUCAUUCGUUUGAUGUUGUGGGGAAUUAGGACUGUUACCUUGAAAAAAUUAGAGUGUUUAAAGCAGGCUAACGUUUGAAUACAUUAGCAUGGAAUAAUGAAAUAGGACAUCCGAUUCUAUUUUGUUGGUUUUUAGGAUCGAUGUAAUGAUUAAUAGGGAUAGUUGGAGGCAUUAGUAUUCAAUUGUCAGAGGUGAAAUUCUUGGAUUUAUUGAAGACUAACUACUGCGAAAGCAUUUGCCAAGGAUGUUUUCAUUAAUCAAGAACGAAAGUUAGAGGAUCGAAGACGAUCAGAUACCGUCGUAGUCUUAACCAUAAACUAUGCCGACUAGGGAUCGGAUGAUGCUUAUUUUUUAAUGACUCAUUCGACACCUUACG
rnacentral:rRNA from 1 species